GACGAACGCUGGCGGCGUGCUUAACACAUGCAAGUCGAACGGAAAGGCCCUGCUUUUUUGGGGUGCUCGAGGGGCGAACGGGUGAGUAACACGUGAGUAACCUGCCCUUGACUUUGGGAUAACUUCAGGAAACUUGGGCUAAUACCGGAUAGGAGCGCCUGCUGCAGGGUGGGGGUUGGAAAGUUUCGGCGGUUGGGGAUGGACGCGCGGCUUACGAGCUUGUUGGUGGGGUAGUGGCUUUCCAAGGCUUUGACGGGUAGCCGGCCUGAGAGGGUGACCGGGCCCAUUGGCCCAGAGAUACGGCCCAGACGCCAACGGGAGGCAGCAGUGGGAAUAUUGCACAAUGGGCGGGAGCCUGAGGCAGAAGCGCCGCGGGCGGGAUGACGGCCUUCGGGUUGUAAACCGCUUUCGCCUGUGACGAAGCGUGAGUGACGGUAAUGGGUAAAGAAGCACCGGCUAACUACGUG
rnacentral:rRNA from 1 species